rnacentral:rRNA from 1 species
AUAUCAGUAAGCGGAGGAAGAGAAACUAACAAGGAUUCCCUCAGUAACGGCGAGUGAAGCGGGAAGAGCCCAAAUUUUAAAUCUGGAGGCAUUGCUGCCUUCCGAAUUGUAGUUUAGAGACGUGGAUCGUGAUUGGUGCACUGGUGCGCAAGUCUUCUGGAAAGGAGCAUCACGGAGGGUGACAAUCCCGUUUGGGUGUCAGUGCACUGGUCGAAGGAGUCACGUCGACGAGUCGAGUUGUUUGGGAAUGCAGCUCAAAGGGGUGGUAAAUUCCAUCCAAGGCUAAAUACAGGCAGGAGACCGAUAGCGCACAAGUA